CUAUUUUUAUGUCUACUGUCACAUGAUAUGACGUCAUGACGUGCGGCCCUAACUGACGUUACCAGUAAAAUCUAUCCAAGAUGGCUACCCUCUCAAGCUACGUGGUAUCAAGCAUGAAACAACUUGAGGACCAGAUGGUGAUCCAUGAGCCUGAUGAAAGUGAUGCCUUACAGGAAUGGAGGGCUUUACAGCAACAGCAGGAUGCAGAAUAUGCUGUGUCCCUUAGAAUUGAUCAAGAAAAGAUUCAAAGAAGGCCUGGAGUGUUUGCAGCUUCUGGAACAUGUUGAAAAGCAUCCCAAUCUCUUUAGAGGAGUGCUAAUGUUCGAGGAGAAGCCACUUAUGGCAAGAGAUUUAGCUGAGCUUUUUAUUCCACAGCUGUCUCCAGUUGGCACCAACAGACGAGCACUGGAGAACAGAAUAGUCUGUUUCUGGAGGGACUGGCUCCUAGAUGUGGAAGGCAACAUUAUAUAGUAGGUUAUAUUAUACACAUUAUACAGUCUGUAACAUUAUGCAAUCGUUACAGUGCUCUUUCUUUCCCAAUCCAAUGUUUUCAAAAAGAUACCAGUGUUUUUGAUGAUUUUCUUAAAAUUUUCACGACCCCCACAAUAUUUUGUUGUAUGAAUAUCUGCACUAACAUUAUUUCAGUAUAAACACCAGAGCUUCUGCUUUUAAAGAAAAAAAACUUUUACUCUUGCUUCAUCC